rnacentral:tRNA from 1 species
UAAGACCUGCGAAAUAUUACAACGCAACCUCUGAAUGCAACUCAGAUACUUUAAUUAAGCUAAAGCCUC